GAGCUGUGGAUAGGGGUGAAAGGCUAAACAAAUCCGGAAAUAGCUGGUUCUCCCCGAAAACUAUUUAGGUAGUGCGUCGUACGGACACUUGCGGGGUAGAGCACUGUAAUCGUUGGGGGGUCAUUGCGAUCUACCCCGCGAUAGCAAACUCCGAAUACCGCAAAGUGAUAUACGGCAGACAGACAUCGGGUGCUAACGUCCGGUGUCAAGAGGGAAACAACCCAGACCGCCAGCUAAGGUCCCAAAUGCAUGGCUAAGUGGCAAACGAGGUGGGAAGGCAUAGACAGCUAGGAGGUUGGCUUAGAAGCAGCCAUCCUUUAAAGAAAGCGUAAUAGCUCACUAGUCGAGUCGUCCUGCGCGGAAGAUGUAACGGGGCUCAAGCCAUGAACCGAAGCUGCGGAUGUGUCUUUGACACGUGGUAGGGG
rnacentral:rRNA from 1 species